GACGAACCACACAAACGUUAUUCGGAAUUACUGGGCUUAAAGGGUGCGUAGGCUGUGCGGAAAGUUAGGUGUGAAAUCCCCCGGCUCAACCGGGGAAUUGCGCCUAAUACUACCGUGCUGGAGGAAGAUAGAGGUGAGCGGAACUUCGGGUGGAGCGGUGAAAUGCGUUGAUAUCCGAAGGAACACCGGUGGCGAAAGCGGCUCACUGGAUCUUUUCUGACGCUGAUGCACGAAAGCUAGGGGAGCAAACGGG
rnacentral:misc_RNA from 1 species